CCUACGGGUGGCAGCAGUGGGGGAUAUUGGACAAUGGGGGGAACUCUGAUCCAGCGACGCCGCGUGAGUGAAGAAGUAUUUCGGUAUGUAAAGCUCUGUCAGCAGGGAAGAAAGAAAUGACGGUACCUGACUAAGAAGCCCCGGCCAACUACGUGCCAGCAGCCGAGGUAAGACGUAGGGGGCAAGCGUUAUCCGGAUUUACGGGGUGUAAAGGGAGCGUAGACGGCGAUGCAAGUCUGAAGUGAAAGGCGGGGGCCCAACCCCCGGACUGCUUUGGAAACUGUAUGGCUGGAGUGCAGGGGAGGUAAGUGGAAUUCCUAGUGUAGCGGUGAAAUGCGUAGAUAUUAGGAGGAACACCAGUGGCGAAGGCGGCUUACUGGACUGUAACUAACGUUGAGGCUCGAAAGCGUGGGGAGCAAACAGGAUUAGAUACCCCUGUAGUC
rnacentral:rRNA from 1 species